AGUGAACGCUGGCGGUAGGCCUAACACAUGCAAGUCGAACGGCAGCACAGUAAGGGCUUGCUCUUACGGGUGGCGAGUGGCGGACGGGUGAGGAAUACAUCGGAAUCUACUUUUUCGUGGGGGAUAACGUAGGGAAACUUACGCUAAUACCGCAUACGACCUACGGGUGAAAGCAGGGGAUCUUCGGACCUUGCGCGAUUGAAUGAGCCGAUGUCGGAUUAGCUAGUUGGCGGGGUAAAGGCCCACCAAGGCGACGAUCCGUAGCUGGUCUGAGAGGAUGAUCAGCCACACUGGAACUGAGACACGGUCCAGACGCCUACGGGAGGCAGCAGUGGGGAAUAUUGGACAAUGGGCGCAAGCCUGAUCCAGCCAUACCGCGUGGGUGAAGAAGGCCUUCGGGUUGUAAAGCCCUUUUGUUGGGAAAGAAAAGCAGCAGGUUAAUACCCCGCUGUUCUGACGGUACCCAAAGAAUAAGCACCGGCUAACUUCGU
rnacentral:rRNA from 1 species